rnacentral:lncRNA from 1 species
GAGUGGUAUGAUCAUGGGUCUCUGCAGCCUUGACCUCUCAGGCUCAAGCAGUCUGCCCACCUCAGCUUCCUUAGUAGCUAUAUAUAUAUAGCGGUGACCAAAUAUCCUAAAAGACAUUGCACUUCAUCAUUCCAUGCCUUCAGACAUUUAAGGGCCAUGGAUGGUGAUCUCCUCCAGAGACAAAAUAAAUGCUGGUGCACAACAGGUGGCCACAGAGUGCAUCUGCUCUGGGGGACCCAUCGCUCAUAUACCCUCCCAGAAGAGCAGGAAAGGGGAUUCGUAAAUACGUUCUUCUGAUGGGGAAUGCUCUAUGAGGCCGCCUUCACAUGGUGAGUAGUGACCGUGACACCUCUGCAGCGUCCCUGGUCACUUGUAGCCCCUGAAAGGGUCAGCAGGAGCAGAUCACUUCUUUUCUUCAGGGCUGGAGAAAGUACCUCCGUGCAUUUUCCAGCCUCAGGGCCCGCCUGGCAGGACUACUGAGCAAGGCCUUGGAAAAUCGGAGCGAUUAGAGCGUGUGGAAGAUGAUCAAAGUAUGACAUUUCUUCUACCCCAGAGGUUGGCAUUUCUGCAGGCACAAAUGAGCUUGGUUUUCAAGCACCGCUCUUUGAACACAAGGAAUUCCUUUAAUGAUCACGCCGGACUAUAUAGACUUUGGAAUCAGACUCUUUGAAUUCCAGCUCUGCCAUUUACCAACUUUGACACUUUGGGUAAGUCCUUUUAACCUCUUUAAGCCUCAGUUUCCUUUUCUGUAAACAGGAAUAAUGAUAACUAACAAUAAUAAUAAUAGUCCUUUCUCAUCGAUUAAAAAUAAACUGAGCUGCA